AGUGAACGCUGGCGGUAGGCCUAACACAUGCAAGUCGAACGGCAGCACAGUAAGAGCUUGCUCUUACGGGUGGCGAGUGGCGGACGGGUGAGGAAUACAUCGGAAUCUACUUUUUCGUGGGGGAUAACGUAGGGAAACUUACGCUAAUACCUCAUACGACCUACGGGUGAAAGCAGGGGAUCUUCGGACCUUGCGCGAUUGUAUGAGCCGAUGUCGGAUUAGCUAGUUGGCGGGGUAAAGGCCCACCAAGGCGACGAUCCGUAGCUGGUCUGAGAGGAUGAUCAGCCACACUGGAACUGAGACACGGUCCAGACUCCUACGGGAGGCAGCAGUGGGGAAUAUUGGACAAUGGGCGCAAGCCUGAUCCAGCCAUACCGCGUGGGUGAAGAAGGCCUUCGGGUUGUAAAGCCCUUUUGUUGGGAAAGAAAAGCAGCAGGUUAAUACCCCGCUGUUCUGACGGUACCCAAAGAAUAAGCACCGGCUAACUUCGUG
rnacentral:rRNA from 1 species